GGUAGCUUAGUGGUAGAGUGCUUGCCUUGCAUGCAUGAGGCCUUGGGUUCGAUUCCCCAGAACCA
rnacentral:tRNA from 1 species